ACUCAAAUGAAUAGACGGGGACCCGCACAAGCGGUGGAGCGUGUGGUUUAAUUCGAUGGUAAGCGGAGAACCUCACCAGGACUUGACAUCCUACUGAAAGCCACUGGAAACAGAGGCCCUCUUCGGACAGUAGAGACAGGUGCUGCACGGUUGUCGUCAGCUCGUGCCGUGAGGCGUUCCGUUAAGUCGGGUAACGAGCGCAACCCUUAUUGCUAGUUGUAUUUUUCUAGCGAGACUGCCGCGGUUAACGCGGAGGAAGGUGGGGAUGACGUCAAAUCAGCGUGGCCCUUAUGUCCUGGGCGACACACGCGCUACAAUGGCCGGUACAAUGGGUUGCCAAAUCGCGAGAUGGAGCUAAUCCCAAAAAACCGGCCCCAGUUCGGAUUGGAGUCUGCAACUCGACUCCAUGAAGCCGGAAUCGCUAGUAAACGCGAAUCAGCCACGUCGCGUUGAAUACGUUCUCGGGUCUUGUACACACCGCCCGU
rnacentral:rRNA from 1 species